GAUGAACGCUGGCGGCGUGCCUAAUACAUGCAAGUCGAGCGAACAGAUGAGGAGCUUGCUCCUCUGACGUUAGCGGCGGACGGGUGAGUAACACGUGGAUAACCUACCUAUAAGACUGGGAUAACUUCGGGAAACCGGAGCUAAUACCGGAUAAUAUAUUGAACCGCAUGGUUCAAUAGUGAAAGACGGUUUUGCUGUCACUUAUAGAUGGAUCCGCGCCGCAUUAGCUAGUUGGUAAGGUAACGGCUUACCAAGGCAACGAUGCGUAGCCGACCUGAGCGGGUGAUCGGCCACACUGGAACGGAGACACGGUCCAGACUCCUACGGGAGGCAGCAGUAGGGAAUCUUCCGCAAUGGGCGAAAGCCUGACGGAGCAACGCCGCGUGAGUGAUGAAGGUCUUCGGAUCGUAAAACUCUGUUAUUAGGGAAGAACAAAUGUGUAAGUAACUAUGCACGUCUUGACGGUACCUAAUCAGAAAGCCACGGCUAACUACGUG
rnacentral:rRNA from 1 species